GCAGUCCUGGCAGCCUCUGGAAGUUGAACAUUCCUGAGAAAUGCUCUGGAUGUUCAUGAAAUACCUCCAGCCCUCCCAUCGAGUAGACAUCAUCCUCAUGGCCAUCAAGAACAUGAAAGGCCCAGGGCAGUACAGCAGGAGCUGUCUACCUACAUGGUAGACAUCCUUGUGAGCCAACCUGUCUUCCAUACACAGCAUGGAUGACUUCCCCUCCACCAAGCAGCCCAUGCCCAUGCCAGCAGCUAUGGGAGCAGAGGCAGAAACCAAGACCUUGCU